rnacentral:rRNA from 1 species
UACGGAGGGGGCUAGCGUUGUUCGGAAUUACUGGGCGUAAAGCGCACGUAGGCGGCUUUGUAAGUUAGAGGUGAAAGCCCGGGGCUCAACUCCGGAAUUGCCUUUAAGACUGCAUCGCUAGAAUUGUGGAGAGGUAAGUGGAAUUCCGAGUGUAGAGGUGAAAUUCGUAGAUAUUCGGAGGAACACCAGUGGCGAAGGCGACUCACUGGACACGUAUUGACGCUGAGGUGCGAAAGCGUGGGGAGCAAACAGG